AGAAUUUCCGGCAAACUUAAAUACCAAACUUAUUCCUCUCUCACUCCCGAAUCCGGUGACGAAGCAUCCUCCAAGGGAAAGGAAACUGCCAAUCAGUGUGCGCGUCUCCACGCGAGGCAACAUGUUCUGUUUUAGUGGUUUGGGUCGUCAUAGCGAGGCGAAGUGUUAGCAGUUUGCAUUCCAAGUCAGGUUGUUUAUUUACUGUUAAUCAGAUUGCAUUGUAUGAUUGCAGUGGAUCCACUGGUGUUCUUAACUCUGUAACUGUGAUUUGUAUAUCUUUCACUUUACUGUUGAUUCUUCGAGUGAAAGUUUUGCUUUUGGUAC